rnacentral:rRNA from 1 species
CCUACGGGUGGCAGCAGUGGGGGAUAUUGCACAAUGGGGGGAACCCUGAUGCAGCGACGCCGCGUGGGUGAAGAAGCGCCUCGGGUCGUAAAGCUCUGUCCUCAAGGAAGAUAAUGACGGUACUUGAGGAGGAAGCCCCGGCUAACUACGUGCCAGCAGCCGCGGUAAUACGUAGGGGGCUAGCGUUAUCCGGAAUUACUGGGCGUAAAGGGUGCGUAGGUGGUUUCUUAAGUCAGAGGUGAAAGGCUACGGCUCAACCGUAGUAAGCCUUUGAAACUGGGGAACUUGAGUGCAGGAGAGGAGAGUGGAAUUCCUAGUGUAGCGGUGAAAUGCGUAGAUAUUAGGAGGAACACCAGUUGCGAAGGCGGCUCUCUGGACUGUAACUGACACUGAGGCACGAAAGCGUGGGGAGCAAACAGGAUUAGAUACCCUUGUAGUUC